rnacentral:rRNA from 5 species
GGAUGCGAUCAUACCAGCACUAAAGCACCGGAUCCCAUCAGAACUCCGAAGUUAAGCGUGCUUGGGCGAGAGUAGUACUAGGAUGGGUGACCUCCUGGGAAGUCCUCGUGUUGCAUUUC